UGUCCAGUAACUCCUAUCCCUACCUCCUCGUGGUGCCACCUGGGGUACGAGUAACCGUAGGGAAGAUCGGGUAAUCAAUCUUGGUCGUAUGCUGACAGGGAAGG
rnacentral:ribozyme from 1 species